rnacentral:lncRNA from 1 species
AUGGUUGUUAGAUGAUAGAAUUUUGUACUUAUACUAGUGAACAUUUUAUAUUUAUAAGCUAAUAGUUUAGUUUUUUUUUUAUGUUUUUUCUUUAAACUUUUAUUUGGAUAGUUGUGUUAUUCAUAUUAUUUAAAACAUGGUUUUUUUAGAUUGCCUCGACAAAAAGAUGAGUAAAUUAUCUAUUAUGACGUGGAAGCACUUAUAAGUAGACAAGUAU